CACGUAGGCACCAAGCGUUGUCCGGAUUUAUUGGGCGUAAAGAGCUCGUAGGCGGUUCGGUAAGUCGGGUGUGAAAACUCUGGGCUCAACCCAGAGCCGCCACCCGAUACUGCUGUGACUUGAGUGCGGUAGGGGAGCGGGGAAUUCCUGGUGUAGCGGUGAAAUGCGUAGAUAUCGGGAGGAACACCAGUGGCGAAGGCGACUACCUGGCCUGUUCUUGACGCUGAGGCGCGAAAGCUAGGGGAGCAAACGGG
rnacentral:rRNA from 1 species